rnacentral:lncRNA from 1 species
GCCGGUGCUUGUUGUCGAGCUACCCGUUGCAUUAGAAAAUCCAUAAACUGUUCCAUAACAUUUUGUACAUUCGAUUGUGCAGCAUUUUCAAAAUGUAGCUCAUGCUCAUCAUGUUGAUCAUGUUCAUAUGCAUUUUCAUGACCAUGCACAGACUCUAAUGACUUAUCUGGGCCAGUUGCGUGUUCUCCUUGUCUCUCCAU